rnacentral:rRNA from 1 species
GAGGAGCGGCGUACGGGUGCGGAACACGUGUGCAACCUGCCUUUAUCUGGGGAUUAGCCUUUUCGAAAAGGAAGAUUAAUACUCCAUAAUAUAUUGAACGGCAUCGUUUAAUAUUGAAAGCUCCGGCGGAUAGAGAUGGGCACGCGCAAGAUUAGCUAGUUGGUGAGGUAACGGCUCACCAAGGCGAUGAUCUUUAGGGGCCUGAGAGGUGAUCCCCCACACUGGUACUGAGACACGGACCAGACUCCUACGGGAGGCAGCAGUGAGGAAUAUUGGUCAAUGGGUGCAAGCCUGAACCAGCCAUCCCGCGUGAAGGACGACUGCCCUAUGGGUUGUAAACUUCUUUUGUAUAGGGAUAAACCUUUCCACGUGUGGAAAGCUGAAGGUACUAUACGAAUAAGCACCGGCUAACUCCGUG